rnacentral:rRNA from 1 species
UGCAAGUCGAACGAGUGGCGGACGGGUGAGGAAUACAUCGGAAUCUACUCUGUCGUGGGGGAUAACGUAGGGAAACUUACGCUAAUACCGCAUACGAUUGAAUGAGCCGAUGUCGGAUUAGCUAGUUGGCGGGGUAAAGGCCCACCAAGGCGACGAUCCGUAGCUGGUCUGAGAGGAUGAUCAGCCACACUGGAACUGAGACACGGUCCAGACUCCUACGGGAGGCAGCAGUGGGGAAUAUUGGACAAUGGGCGCAAGCCUGAUCCAGCCAUACCGCGUGGGUGAAGAAGGCCUUCGGGUUGUAAAGCCCUUUUGUUGGGAAAGCGGUACCCAAAGAAUAAGCACCGGCUAACUUCGUGCCAGCAGCCGCGGUAAUACGAAGGGUGCAAGCGUUACUCGGAAUUACUGGGCGUAAAGCGUGCGUAGGUGGUCGUUUAAGUCCGUUGUGAAAGCCCUGGGCUCAACCUGGGAACUGCAGUGGAUACUGGGCGACUAGAAUGUGGUAGAGGGUAGCGGAAUUCCUGGUGUAGCAGUGAAAUGCGUAGAGAUCAGGAGGAACAUCCAUGGCG